CGUGUGGAAGCCGGUCCUGCGGCCGUGCAACCGCUCGCGCGGCCAACAGUGGCUCAUGCAGGUCGACUUCAAGUGGCAGGCGCGCCGCAACCAGAGAGAGCAGGACAGCUAGUCCGCGACCCCCGCACAGAAUCAACAACGAUAGACCAUAACAGUCUUCCCCUCUCGUUAGAUAUCAGAUUUUAUUCCUUAUUCCUAUAUCUGAAGUUUUAUAUCUAUUAGAUGUAUUGACAUUAGUGAAGUCCUGUGAAUUGUUGACAAUACAUAAUGUAUGCUGUAAUAA